rnacentral:rRNA from 1 species
AUUGAACGCUGGCGGCAGGCUUAACACAUGCAAGUCGAGCGGAGAUGAGGUGCUUGCACCUUAUCUUAGCGGCGGACGGGUGAGUAAUGCCUAGGAAUCUGCCUAUUAGUGGGGGACAACAUUCCGAAAGGAAUGCUAAUACCGCAUACGCCCUACGGGGGAAAGCAGGGGAUCUUCGGACCUUGCGCUAAUAGAUGAGCCUAAGUCGGAUUAGCUAGUUGGUGGGGUAAAGGCCUACCAAGGCGACGAUCUGUAGCGGGUCUGAUAGGAUGAUCCGCCAGACUGGGACUGAGACACGGCCCAGACUCCUACGGGAGGCAGCAGUGGGGAAUAUUGGACAAUGGGCGGAAGCCUGAUCCAGCCAUGCCGCGUGUGUGAAGAAGGCCUUUUGGUUGUAAAGCACUUUAAGCGAGGAGGAGGCUACCUGGAUUAAUACUCUAGGAUAGUGGACGUUACUCGCAGAAUAAGCACCGGCUAACUCUGUGCCAGCCGCCGCAGUAAUAC